rnacentral:rRNA from 1 species
UGGGGAAUCUUGCGCAAUGGCCGAAAGGCUGACGCAGCGACGCCGCGUGGAGGAUGACGCCCUUCGGGGUGUAAACUCCUGUUGCCCGGGACGAAUACCCGUUUCGACGGGGGUGACGGUACCGGGUGAGGAAGUACCGGCUAACUCUGUGCCAGCAGCCGCGGUAAUACAGAGGGUGCGAGCGUUGUCCGGAAUCACUGGGCGUAAAGGGCGCGUAGGCGGCUGGGUAAGCGUGUGGUGAAAGCCCGGGGCUCAACCCCGGGUCGGCCAUGCGAACUGUCCAGCUGGAGCACGGUAGAGGCACAUGGAAUUCCGGGUGUAGCGGUGGAAUGCGUAGAGAUCCGGAAGAACACCGGUGGCGAAGGCGGUGUGCUGGGCCGUGGCUGACGCUGAGGCGCGACAGCGUGGGGAGCAAACA